rnacentral:rRNA from 1 species
AACGAACGCUGGCGGCAUGCCUAACACAUGCAAGUCGAACGAGACCUUCGGGUCUAGUGGCGCACGGGUGCGUAACGCGUGGGAACCUGCCCUUAGGUUCGGAAUAACUCCCCGAAAGGGGUGCUAAUACCGGAUAAUGUCUUCGGACCAAAGAUUUAUCGCCUUUGGAUGGGCCCGCGUUGGAUUAGCUAGUUGGUAGGGUAAAAGCCUACCAAGGCGACGAUCCAUAGCUGGUCUGAGAGGAUGAUCAGCCACACUGGGACUGAGACACGGCCCAGACUCCUACGGGAGGCAGCAGAGGGGAAUAUUGGACAAUGGGCGAGAGCCUGAUCCAGCAAUGCCGCGUGAGUGAUGAAGGCCUUAGGGUUGUAAAGCUCUUUUACCCGGGAUGAUAAUGACAGUACCGGGAGAAUAAGCUCCGGCUAACUCCGU